AGUGAACGCUGGCGGUAGGCCUAACACAUGCAAGUCGAACGGCAGCACAGUAAGAGCUUGCUCUUACGGGUGGCGAGUGGCGGACGGGUGAGGAAUACAUCGGAAUCUACUUUUUCGUGGGGGAUAACGUAGGGAAACUUACGCUAAUACCGCAUACGACCUACGGGUGAAAGCAGGGGAUCUUCGGACCUUGCGCGAUUGAAUGAGCCGAUGUCGGAUUAGCUAGUUGGCGGGGUAAAGGCCCACCAAGGCGACGAUCCGUAGCUGGUCUGAGAGGAUGAUCGGCCACACUGGAACUGAGACACGGUCCAGACUCCUACGGGAGGCAGCAGUGGGGAAUAUUGGACAAUGGGCGCAAGCCUGACCCAGCCAUACCGCGUGGGUGAAGAAGGCCUUCGGGUUGUAAAGCCCUUUUGUUGGGAAAGAAAAGCAGCAGGUUAAUACCCCGCUGUUCUGACGGUACCCAAAGAAUAAGCACCGGCUAACUUCGUG
rnacentral:rRNA from 1 species